rnacentral:rRNA from 1 species
CCGGCACGGGUGAGUAACACGUAUCCAACCUGCCGUCUACUCUUGGACAGCCUUCUGAAAGGAAGAUUAAUACAAGAUGGCAUCAUGAGUCCGCAUGUUCACAUGAUUAAAGGUAUUCCGGUAGACGAUGGGGAUGCGUUCCAUUAGAUAGUAGGCGGGGUAACGGCCCACCUAGUCUUCGAUGGAUAGGGGUUCUGAGAGGAAGGUCCCCCACAUUGGAACUGGGACACGGUCCAA